GAUGAACGCUGGCGGCGUGCUUAACACAUGCAAGUCGAACGGAAAGGCCCAAGCUUGCUUGGGUACUCGAGUGGCGAACGGGUGAGUAACACGUGGGUGAUCUGCCCUGCACUUCGGGAUAAGCCUGGGAAACUGGGUCUAAAACCGGAUAGGACCACAUUUUGGAUGGUGUGGUGGAAAGUUUUUCGGUGUGGGAUGAGCUCGCGGCCUAUCAGCUUGUUGGUGGGGUAAUGGCCUACCAAGGCGUCGACGGGUAGCCGGCCUGAGAGGGUGUACGGCCACAUUGGGACUGAGAUACGGCCCAGACUCCUACGGGAGGCAGCAGUGGGGAAUAUUGCACAAUGGGCGCAAGCCUGAUGCAGCGACGCCGCGUGGGGGAUGACGGCCUUCGGGUUGUAAACUCCUUUCGCUAGGGACGAAGCGCAAGUGACGGUACCUGGAGAAGAAGCACCGGCUAACUACGUG
rnacentral:rRNA from 1 species